GAUGAACGCUGACGGCGUGCCUAAUACAUGCAAGUCGAGCGAACGGACGAGAAGCUUGCUUCUCUGAUGUUAGCGGCGGACGGGUGAGUAACACGUGGAUAACCUACCUAUAAGACUGGGAUAACUUCGGGAAACCGGAGCUAAUACCGGAUAAUAUUUUGAACCGCAUGGUUCAAAAGUGAAAGACGGUCUUGCUGUCACUUAUAGAUGGAUCCGCGCUGCAUUAGCUAGUUGGUAAGGUAACGGCUUACCAAGGCAACGAUGCAUAGUCGACCUGAGAGGGUGAUCGGCCACACUGGAACUGAGACACGGUCCAGACUCCUACGGGAGGCAGCAGUAGGGAAUCUUCCGCAAUGGGCGAAAGCCUGACGGAGCAACGCCGCGUGAGUGAUGAAGGUCUUCGGAUCGUAAAACUCUGUUAUUAGGGAAGAACAUAUGUGUAAGUAACUGUGCACAUCUUGACGGUACCUAAUCAGAAAGCCACGGCUAACUACGUG
rnacentral:rRNA from 1 species